UACGGAGGGGGCUAGCGUUGUUCGGAAUUACUGGGCGUAAAGCGCGCGUAGGCGGCUUAGCAAGUUAGAGGUGAAAGCCCGGAGCUUAACUCCGGAAUUGCCUUUAAAACUGCAAAGCUAGAAUCAUGGAGAGGUGAGUGGAAUUCCGAGUGUAGAGGUGAAAUUCGUAGAUAUUCGGAAGAACACCAGUGGCGAAGGCGACUCACUGGACAUGUAUUGACGCUGAGGUGCGAAAGCGUGGGGAGCAAACAGGG
rnacentral:rRNA from 1 species